rnacentral:lncRNA from 1 species
UUUUUUAACCUUUCUUUCACUUUUUACAAAACGAAAAACCACGACCAGGAGCAACGAACAAAAUCGCAUUUCCCCCUUUUUCCUUAUUCGCUCUCUUUUCAGUUUCCCGAGAAGAUAUAAAAAUAUUCUUAAUAAAUCGAGGCAGAUUGAUUUCGACUUCAACGUUCCCCUUACAUUUGGAAUUUCCCGUGAUACCGUUGGUUUCUCGCCGUGGGUAUUCUUCUCAUUUGUUUGUUGGGCGACAGAAGUAGUGUGUGUCUGUGUGCGUCAAAAUGGGGUCCCUAGAGCAAGACCAAGUUGUUGAUUCUCAGCUUUAUGUUGACAGCUCUGCUUCUGGUCAGUUAAAUCUCAUAUCUUUUUUUGAGGUUUUCUCCAAAUAGUUUAAAGGGUUUGAGGUAGGACUGUAUUGUGGCACGGGCAUGAACCGGAUCGGAUCGGACCCGCGGUUCUGGCGGGCCUGGUGGGCUGGUCCUGGGCCUGGUGUUACUCUUAGGCCCGUGACAGGUCGGUCCGCAAUAUUUAGCCCGGGACCGUCAGCCGGGCCUGAGCUGGUCCUGGCGGGCCUAAACGGGCC